rnacentral:rRNA from 1 species
GCCGACCUAUGUACACCACAAACUCUUAAAGUAACAGAAUGUAAACGCGUCUAACGCAUCUUAAUACGACUUUCGGCAACGGAUCUCUUGGCUCUCGCAUCGAUGAAGAACGCACCGAAAUGCGAUAAGUAAUGUGAAUUGCAGAAUUCAGUGAAUCAUCGAAUCUUUGAACGCACCUUGCGCUCCUUGGUAUUCCGAGGAGCAUGCCUGUUUGAGUGUCAUGAAAUUCUCAACCCAUAAAUCCUUGUGAUCUAUGGGCUUGGAUUUGGAGGCUUGCUGGCCGGAACGGUCGGCUCCUCUUGAAUGCAUUAGCUUGAUUCCGUGCGGAUCGGCUCUCAAUGUGAUAAUUGUCUACGCUGUGACCGUGAAGCGUUUUGGCGAGCUUCUAACCGUCCAUUAGGACAAUUUUAUAACAUCUGACCUCAAAUCAGGUAGGACUACCCGCUGAACUUAAGCAUAUCAAUAAGCGGAGGAA